ACUUCCCACUCCCACAUCAGUAUUUCCUCUACGUCUCUGGCUUUGCAAAUAAAGCGGAAUAGUUAUAGAGAGGAAAUAAACCGCCAGCCAAAAAUGGGUACAAAAUUUCAACGACGUCGCCUCAUAAACUCGAUUAGAAGCUUUCAAGAGAAGAGCAAAUGAAUUUUCAAUACAAAAAGGGAGCAGUGGUUUUGGGUUUUUUCUUUUAAAUUUUAGGAUGCCAAGUUUGGUAUAAAGAAAGCGUCGGAGCUGCAGCAAAACUUGCAGUCCAUUGAUGUUGUUGUGACUAAUGGGAGUAGUUCAUGUGAAGAGAACAGCUAGUGGAUUUGAUCUUAUCAUUUGCUGCAUUGCAUGGAAUUUGUAGAGUUGGGCUCAUUUGUUCUUCGUUUUGUCUGUUUUUCAGGCAAAAAACUCGGUCCUUCAAAUGGAGUCUUAUCUGCUUGAUGAGAUUCUACGACAUUUUUUAUGUGACGUGUUAAUUUUCAUGUAGGAUGUCUUCUGGGAAUUCCAGUGUGGAUGAGGAAGCAAUGCAAAGGCAUCUCUAAUAAUUCAUAUGCCUUCUGGAAAUUCCAGUGCCACGGUUCUGUGUGUUGUUCCCGUGGAUGAGGAUGCCUUCAGGAAAUUCCAGGGCGAGGGUUGUAUGUGUUACUCCUGUGGAUGAGGAGGUGAUGCAAAGGUGUAUGUAAAACUGUAUAAAGACCAUACUGCUAUUGAAGCAGAGAUAGGUUACUGAGCUAAAGCAUAUUAGCUCUUCUUCUCAGCGCAGAACGACGCCAAAAAGGUCACUCCAUUCUUCCUUCCGACGCUGCACCGACUAUUCUUGCUGCUCAGCGUGGAGGACGCUCUGGUGGUGGUUUCCGGGGUCGUGGCUCUUCCUACCGUGGUGGACGUGGAUCUUAUUCUGGUGGUCAUAAUUUCCAAACUGGACAUUACCACAAACCUGGAGGACCACGCUUUGCUAUCCUACUCAUGUUUGCAAGCUUCGUCGUUCUUUAUACGGCCUUAAACAAGCACCCCGGGCAUGGUUUCAGUGUUUUUCUCAUCACUUGGAGGACUUAGGUUUCCUUGCUUCCACUGCCGACUCCUCCCUGUUUACAUAUUUCAAUGGUGCCACUAUUAUUUAUCUUUUGAUUUAUGUAGAUGACAUUUUAGUCACUGGGAAUGAUGCAGCUCACAUUUCACGUCUCAUUGCUCAGCUUGGCCUAUUAUUCUCUAUGAAAGAUCUUGGGCCCCUUAAAUUUUUCCUUGGCAUGGAAGUCACUCGUACACCUACUGGCAUGUACCUUUCUCAAUCCAAAUACAUUGUGGAUCUCCUCCGUCGCACCAAGAUGACCGACUGCAAGCCAACUUCAACACCUGCUACUGCUGGUCGUCGUUUUAGUCUUCAUGAAGGGGAACCUCUUUCAGAUGCCACUGAAUUUAGAAGUG